rnacentral:rRNA from 1 species
AGAGUUUGAUCAUGGCUCAGGAUGAACGCUAGCUACAGGCUUAACACAUGCAAGUCGAGGGGAAACGACAUCGAAAGCUUGCUUUUGAUGGGCGUCGACCGGCGCACGGGUGAGUAACGCGUAUCCAACCUGCCCACCACUUGGGGAUAACCUUGCGAAAGUAAGACUAAUACCCAAUGACGUCUCUAGAAGACAUCUGAAAGGGAUUAAAGAUUUAUCGGUGAUGGAUGGGGAUGCGUCUGAUUAGCUUGUUGGCGGGGUAACGGCCACCAAGGCUACGAUCAGUAGGGGUUCUGAGAGGAAGGUCCCCCANAUUGGAACUGAGACACGGUCCAAAACUCCUACGGGAGCAC